AUUAUUUUAAUAUAGCAAAAAAGUGCAAUGAAUUUAAAAUUCAUUUAUAAAGAUUUUUAAAUUCUUUUAUUAAAA
rnacentral:tRNA from 1 species